rnacentral:misc_RNA from 1 species
AACACAUCGCUUCAGUUUCAUAAAUUUUAUAUACCAGUGUUCUAGCCGUAAGAGUGAGGAAAAAUUGGGAAGUUGCUUUCGAGAAUUUCUUGUGCGUUGACAGAAUCUUCAUUUUUAGCCAAUUGAUGUGGCUAACGGUAGGCUUUUCCAGAGAAGGGGAAUGAGAGAAGCAAUUUAUAAAUUAGUUUGAAUUGGGGCUAAUCCAGUGAAUAUGAGAUUCCUGAAGAUGCUUGACACUUCUAUGCCCUUAGAAUGAGUUAAUAAACAAUUAUUAAAUUUGUGCCUUGUGAAUUCUGGGUAUGUUUUUUUAUUUCCCUGAUGAUG